GACGAACGCUGGCGGCGUGCUUAACACAUGCAAGUCGUACGGUAAGGCCCUUUCGGGGGUACACGAGUGGCGAACGGGUGAGUAACACGUGAGUAACCUGCCCACAACUUUGGGAUAACGCUAGGAAACUGGUGCUAAUACUGGAUAUGUGCUCCUGCUGCAUGGUGGGGGUUGGAAAGCUCCGGCGGUUGUGGAUGGACUCGCGGCCUAUCAGCUUGUUGGUGGGGUAGUGGCCUACCAAGGCGGCGACGGGUAGCCGGCCUGAGAGGGUGACCGGCCACAUUGGGACUGAGAUACGGCCCAGACUCCUACGGGAGGCAGCAGUGGGGAAUAUUGCACAAUGGGCGCAAGCCUGAUGCAGCAACGCCGCGUGCGGGAUGACGGCCUUCGGGUUGUAAACCGCUUUCAGCAGGGACGAAGCUUCUUGUGACGGUACCUGCAGAAGAAGCACCGGCUAACUACGUG
rnacentral:rRNA from 1 species